UCGCGGUUUGCACCGGCAGGCCGGAUUUAGCCCAGGUAAGGUUCUUCGCGUUGCAUCGAAUUAAGCCACAUGCUCCACCGCUUGUGCGGGCCCCCGUCAAUUCCUUUGAGUUUUAGCCUUGCGGCCGUACUCCCCAGGCGGGGCGCUUAAUGCGUUAGCUACGGCACGGAUCCCGUGGAAGGAAACCCACACCUAGCGCCCACCGUUUACGGCGUGGACUAC
rnacentral:misc_RNA from 1 species